UAAGAGCAGAAAUCAAUGAAAUUGACAACAAAAACUAGAGAAAAUGAAUGAAAUAAAGUGCUGAUUCUUUAAAAAAUAAUGAAAUUGACAAACCUCUCAUAAGACUGACAAAGACACAGAUUAUUAAUAGCAGGAAUGAAAUGGGAUAUCACUACAGAUUCUGUCGACAUCAAAAAUACAAUAAAGGAAUAAUAUGAACAACUUCCUAUAUAAUUUGACAACUUAGGUCAAAUGGGCCAAUUCACAUUUAGAAACUUGAGAAGAUAGGGCAUAUUUUAAAUGUGUAAUUUUUAGCAUGUUAUGACAUUUCACAAACACAUAUUCCUUCUCUCUUGCUACCAGAUUUGUCUCUUAAGAGUGUAAGUUGUUGUUUGUAUCCCUAGUGCUUAGCAGAAUUCAGUACGAUGCCUGACAUUUAUGCUUCCUUAUGAAUGCUUCAGUGAAUGGCUGAUAGCUAAAAUAGCCACACAGAUAUUUUAAAACAUUUCUGGUUAAAUAUAUUUUAUCGAAAAGAAAAAUCAGUAGCCUUUUUAUCUUUUUUCCAAAGGGAAGGGAUAUGUGAUUGUAUUUGGCAGAAGCCAUCUGGAUCAGACUCUGUUGUCUUAAUACACAGUAGUAAGUGCAAUCACAGUUUAUGUAGAGCUGAACUAUUGAGCAUAUAUAUCUAUCAUUGAGAAUAUGUUGUGGUUACUUAUUGAUGAGAACAGAUUGCUAAUUUCUUAGCUCAAGUUGAGAAUUUCUUUUAAAGUCUUUUAUUUGCUGUAUUUAGAGGUCCUGUUGAGGUAAUUGAAAUAGUAAUGACAUGUGAAUGUAUACAUAUGGUGAAUUAUGAAUGUACAAGAUCAUAUUAAUACUUAGAGGUUAAGUCUUGAAAAUGUCUUGAAUAUGAAAAUAUUUCUUGAUUGUAUCAGCCUGUGAAUUAAAAUUAUGUCAACGACCA